rnacentral:rRNA from 1 species
GGACAACCUAAUCUAAGGUGGGGGAUAACCCCGGGAAACUGGGGAUAAUACCCCAUAGGCUAUGAAUGCUGGAAUGCUUCGUAGUUGAAAGGUGAGCCGCCAUAGGAUGGGUCUGCGGCCGAUUAGGUUGUUGUUGGGGUAACGGCCCAACAAGCCUGUAAUCGGUACGGGUUGUGGGAGCAAGAGCCCGGAGAUGGAUUCUGAGACACGAAUCCCGGCCCUACGGGGCGCAGCAGGCGCGAAAACUUUACAAUGCGGGAAACCGUGAUAAGGGAACUCCGAGUGCCCGUUAAAUCGGGCUGUCCACCAGUUUAAAAAACUGGUGAAGAAAGGGCCGGGCAAGACCGGUGCCAGCCGCCGCGGUAAUACCGGCGGCUCGAGUGGUGGCCACUAUUACUGGGCUUAAAGCGUUCGUAGCUGGUUUGUUAAGUCUCUGGGGAAAUCUUCCGGCUUAACCGGAAGGCGUCUCAGGGAUACUGGCAGACUAGGGACCGGAAGAGGUGAGGGGUACUCCAGGGGUAGGAGUGAAAUCCUGUAAUCCUUGGGGGACCACCUGUGGCGAAGGCGCCUCACCAGGACGGCUCCGACAGUGAGGGACGAAAGCUGGGGGAGCAAACCGGAUUAGAUACCCGGGUAGUCCCAGCCGUAAACGAUGUGCGUUAGGUGUAUCGGUGACCACGAGUCACCGAGGUGCCGAAGAGAAAUCGUGAAACGUACCGCCUGGGAAGUACGGUCGCAAGGCUGAAACU